GCGAAACCGGAACACCAAGCUUUGUAGUUGGCUUCCAUUGCUUCGAAGAGUUGGUCUAACUCUUCUUGCUCGAACCCACCGUAGUAAUCCACGUCAUUAAGAUACCUAAAACAAUAAAUAAAAAAUAGGGUAUAAAAAAAAUCAUUUGGAAUCUCUGAUCUCAUUGAAAGCAACCUUUUUUGUUUUUUACCUUGGGGAACCAGAGAUCAUGAUGAUUUUAGAGAAAAAAUCGGGUCGGGAAAUAGAAGCUACGGCGCCAACCAUGGCGGAAACGGAGUGGCCGACGAAAAUACAUGAAUCGACGUGGAUUUCUUCAAGGAUCGCAAGCAAAUCAUAAGCAUAACCUUCGAGAGUAGCGUAACGAUUGAAAUCGAAGUAUUCGGGGUUGGUGGUUCCGGCACCCAUGUUAUCGUACAAUACGACACGGAAAUCGUCGACUAGGUGAGGAACCAAGUGCUUCCAAACCGAUUGGUCCGUACCGAACCCAUGAGCCAAAACGAUGAC
rnacentral:lncRNA from 1 species